rnacentral:tRNA from 1 species
GGGAAUGUGGCUUAGUGGUAGAGUGCUUGCCUAGCAUGCAUGAAGCCCGGAGUUCAAUUCCUCAGUACCA